rnacentral:rRNA from 1 species
GCGUCAGUAAUGGACCAGUAAGCCGCCUUCGCCACUGGUGUUCCUCCGAAUAUCUACGAAUUUCACCUCUACACUCGGAAUUCCACUUACCUCUUCCAUACUCAAGAUACCCAGUAUCAAAGGCAGUUCCAGAGUUGAGCUCUGGGAUUUCACCCCUGACUUAAAUAUCCGCCUACGUGCGCUUUACGCCCAGUAAUUCCGAACAACGCUAGCCCCCUUCGUAUUACCGCGGCUGCUGGCACGAAGUUAGCCGGGGCUUCUUCUCCGGAUACCGUCAUUAUCUUCUCCGGUGAAAGAGCUUUACAACCCUAAGGCCUUCAUCACUCACGCGGCAUGGCUGGAUCAGGCUUGCGCCCAUUGUCCAAUAUUCCCCACUGCUGCCUCCCGUAGGAGUUUGGGCCGUGUCUCAGUCCCAAUGUGGCUGAUCAUCCUCUCAGACCAGCUAUGGAUCGUCGCCUUGGUAGGCCUUUACCCCACCAACUAGCUAAUCCAACGCGGGCUCAUCAUACCCCGAUAAAUCUUUCCCCCGUAGGGCGUAUGCGGUAUUAAUUCCAGUUUCCCGGAGCUAUUCCGCAGGGCACGGUAGAUUCCCACGCGUUACUCACCCGUCUGCCACUCCCCUUGCGGGGCGUUCGACUUGCAUGUGUUAAGCCUGCCGCCAGCGUUCGUU